UGUAUAGCCUUGCAUUAUGAAAAGAGCACAGAACAGGAAGUUAGGACAUCUUGCUUUGAGGUCUAGAACAGCCAUCAACUAUAUGAUCUUGGGUGAGUCACUUCACCUCUCUGAACCUGUUUCCUCAAGAAAAAUAAGCAGAGUAGGCUGCCUGCGUGAUCUCAAGACAACACACUGUGCUAGAAUGAGUCUUACAGCAAGAGUUCAAAGUUCAAAUUCUAAUUCUAGAACUCGUUGAGUGUAAAAUUCACAGCAAGUCAUAGAACCUCUUGGAACCCCAGUUUCCACAUCUGGAAGAAGGGGCAGAAUAGUAUCAAAAAUGCUUCACUCCCAGGAAUGUGGUGAGCAUAAAAUUAAAUAAUGAAAAAGUCAACUAUAAAGCACUAAAUAAAUAUAAGAUGGUGAAUCUGACAGAGGAAGAAUUAAAUGACUUGUUCAAGGUCACCUUUGAGGAAUUUGCAGGAAGUUUAACUUAUGUAUAUUUUUCCCCUGUAGUACCCCAGGGGCCUAAUGACAGGAAAACAAAUGAAGUGGAUCCCCAUCUUCCACCCUUGCCUCCGCUAAGCCAUCAGAGGACAAGUUUCCCACCCCACUCUCUCCAAUUUCACUUGAAAAAUAAAACAGGCCUCCAGCUGUGAAAUGGAUUAUGCUCUACAACUAUGUACCUGGAAUAGAAGCCAUCAUUCUUCAUGAAGUUUGCUGAGAAUUAUGUAUCGCAGCCUGGCAGCUUCCUGUUCCCUCGUUAGCCUGCAUAUCCCACUUAACGAAAGAUUCGCCAUGCACUGACUUGUAUGUGACUCACAGUGUGCACAGUAUGCACUGACUGUGACCUGUCCCCAAAUGAACACAGUACCAGUCUAACGUACCACCUUACCUAUGGCUCUCUCCCAUACACACCCAAUCCACUGCAGGCAAAUGAUCUACCCACAAUCUCCCAAACACAGUCUUCACUGUCUGGUCACUGCUCCUUUACACGUGGCAUUCACUCUGCUUGCAGAGGCAUUUUAGAGUGGAUAUCUAAAGAAGGAGAUUUCUCCCAAGCAUGCACAUAGGAGGGCACUGGUCUGAUGCUCUGAUUGACAGUUCACUACUGCAAAGAGGACAGAUGAGAAAGCAGCUCAGCUCUUUGAUGCUAAGGAAAAAACACAGAACCUCACUUAUCUAUAUGUAAUCACAAACUUUAGUAUCCAUCAGUACCAAGCCAAAAUAGUUCCUGUUUGGACAUACAUUAUUAGAAAUUAACAACAAAAUUUAGUAAAUGGUUGGCCAGUUCUGAACGCAGAAUAGCCACCUCUGAGUGAGCAUUUUGAUCAAUCUAACUCACACAUUUCUGGUUCAACAAAGUUAUUAGAUGAGAAGACCCAAAACGGUGUGUAAAUGGGACACAGAUUUAUAAACAGUUAAUUUAUAAUCAUAUAUGGCAAAUUAACCUGUAUGUCACUAAUGUGCCACCAAUCAUAAGACAUGCCAUCAUUUAAUCUGUCAUGAAGAAGUGAAAAACUCAAUUAAACGGUGACAUCAUGCUUCCUGAUUAGAAAUGUUCAUUUUUUUGUUAUGCUAAAUUUACAUAAAUACAUAUUUAUUUAAACAACACGGGGCCACAAUAUGAACAUCUAUGCCCAAGUUUCUGCAUGCCCAGCAAUGACUGCCACCCUGACAAUGGUGACUGAUAUCAUCAAGUGUAACAUGCAUCCUGAUUCAAGUUGUUCAACUGUGACACAACGGGUACCUUAGCACUGAUGAAAUAUGGUACCCGCCUGCGUCACAUGAGCUUCUCAUGAUCCAGCAGCCUCUCCUCACCUGACACUGGCUCUAGUCCCCAGUAAUGACUCUGAUCCUGUUUGUCCUAGGAGUCUUCUCUUCCUUUGUUUCCCACUUCCCUCACUGGGCUACUCAGUAACCAGUUAGCUGUUAAGGCGCAAGCCUUUUUUUAUUUUAAUUUUUAUUUUUUCCAAAACUCCUCAACAAUUGCAAUUGCCACUUUGUUUCUACUAUUAUUGCCCUUGACUUAUUUCUUUAUUUAUUUAAGUUUCUUUUGUUUUUAAACAAGAAGGC
rnacentral:lncRNA from 1 species